CCACAAGAUACUUCACCAACACUAACAAUCAUAUUAACUUUUCCCCUCUGCUCAAUGAUGACGAACAAUCACUUGCAGGUCACGGAGUUAAAGCAGAUCACCAGGAGAUGACAUACCUCAGAAAUGUUCCUUUCAGGAGGGAAGCAGCAGACACCUAUCUCCUUUGCUGGUCUUCUGUGUAUUCUAUGCCCCACAAUGAAUGCUUCUAUUGACGUGGAUGGAGUUGGAUCACGCCCCGAAUGAAGAAAUUAUUGUGGGAAAGCUAAGUGGGAGAUAUGAGUGCUGAACACUGCUCGAGAUUUGACCCAAUGACUUCACACAGCUGCAAGAAAUUCAGCAGAAAAUACAGUUCUCACUUCCCAGUCAAGUGAGGUGGAGAUUUCAAAAUAAAGACACAAACAAACUAGCAAAGAAGCAAGCAAGAAAAGCUUGGUACGCUACGCAUAAUACA